rnacentral:rRNA from 1 species
GGGGAAUAUUGGACAAUGGGCGCAAGCCUGAUCCAGCAAUGCCGCGUGAGUGAUGAAGGCCUUCGGGUCGUAAAGCUCUUUUACCAGGGAUGAUAAUGACAGUACCUGGAGAAUAAGCUCCGGCUAACUCCGUGCCAGCAGCCGCGGUAAUACGGAGGGAGCUAGCGUUGUUCGGAAUUACUGGGCGUAAAGCGCACGUAGGCGGUUACUCAAGUCAGAGGUGAAAGCCCGGGGCUCAACCCCGGAACUGCCUUUGAAACUAGGUGACUGGAAUCUUGGAGAGGCGAGUGGAAUUCCGAGUGUAGAGGUGAAAUUCGUAGAUAUUCGGAAGAACACCAGUGGCGAAGGCGACUCGCUGGACAAGUAUUGACGCUGAGGUGCGAAAGCGUGGGGAGCAAAC